ensembl:lncRNA
UUCUCGAAGAGAAAACGCGUGAUUUUCACUUAAAUGGGGGAUUUCCGAAGAGAAAACGCGUGAUUUUCGCAUAAAUGGGGGAUUUGUGUAGAGAAAACGCGUGAUUUUCUCGUUAAAUGGAAGAUUCCUGAAGAGAAAAGGAGUGAUUUUUGCUUAAAUGGCGGAUUUGUGAAGAGAAAACGCGUGUUUUUCGCUUAAAUGAGGGAUUUGCAAAUUGAAAAUGUGCGAUUUUCGGGUUAAAUGGGGGAUUAGCGAAGAGAAAACGCGUGAUUUUCGCUUAAAUGGAGGACUUGCGAAGAGAAAACGCAUGUUUUUAGGGUGAAAUGGGGGAUUCUCGAAGAGAAAAUGCUUGGUUUUCUGGUUAAAUGGGGGAUUUGCGAAGAGAAAACGCGUGACUUUCGCUUAAAUGUGGGAUUUGAGAAAACGCGUGAUUUUCGCUUAAAUGUUGGAUUCUCAAAGAGAAAACGCGUGAUUUUCGGGUUAAAUGGGGGAUUUGCAAAAAGAAAACGCGAGAUUUUCGGGUGAAAUGGAAGAUUCCUGAAAAGAAAAUGCGUGUUUUUUGCUUGAACGGCGGAUUUGUGAAGAGAAAAUGCGUGUUUUUGCUUAAAUGGGGGAUUUGCGAAGAGAAAACGCUUGCUUUUCGGGUUAAAUGGGGGAUUCUCGAAGAGAAAACGCGUGGUUUUCGGGUUAAAUGUUGGAUUCUCGAAGAGAAAACGCGUGAUUUUCGCUUAAAUGUGGGAUUUCUGAAGAGAAAAUGCGUGUUUUUUUGUGUUAAUUGGGGGAUUUGCAAAGAGAAAAUGCGUGAUUUUCGCUUAAAUGGGGGAUUUGAGUAAAUACAUGAUAUUCGGGUUCAGUGGGGGAUUCUCGAAGAGAAAAUGCUUGGUUUUCUGGUUAAAUGGGGGAUUUGCGAAGAGAAAACGCGUGACUUUCGCUUAAAUGUGGGAUUUGAGAAAACGCGUGAUUUUCACUUAAAUGUUGGAUUCUCAAAGAGAAAACGUGAUUUACGCAUAAAUGUGUGAUUUGCGAAAAGAAAGCUCGUGUUUUUCGCAUAAAUGGGGGGUUUGUGAAGAGAAAACGCGUGAUUUUCAAGUUAAAUGGGGGAUUUGCGAAGAGAAAACGUGUGAUUUUCGCUUAAAUUGACGAUUCUCAAAGAGAAAACGUGUGAUUUUCGCUUAAAUGUGGGAUUUCUGAAGAGAAAACGCGUGUUUUUUUGUGUUAAAUGGGGGAUUCUCGAAGAGAAAACGCGUGAUUUUCGCUUAAAUGGGGGAUUUGAGAAGAGAAAACGUGAUUUUCGCUUAAAUGGGGUAUUCGCGAAAAGAAAACGGGUGAUUUUCGCUUAAAUGUGCGACUUGCAAAGAUAAAACGCGUCAUUUUCACGUUAAAUGGGGGAUUCUCGAAGAGAAAACGCGUGGUUUUCGGGUUAAAUGGGGGAUUCUCGAAUAGAAAACGCGUGGUUUUCGGGUUAAAUGGGGGAUUUGCGAAGAGAAAACGCGUGACUUUCGCUUAAAUGGGGGAUUCGCGAAAAGAAAACGCGUGAUUUUCGCUUAAAUGUGGGACUUGCAAAGAGAAAACGUGUCAUUUACACGUUAAAUGGAGGAUUCUCGAAGAGAAACCGCGUGAUUUUCGCUUAAAUGGGGGAUUUGAGAAAACGCGUGAUUUACGUUAAAUGUUGGUUUCUCGAAGAGAAAACGCGUGAUUUUCGCUUAAAUGGGGUAUUGGAGAAGAGAAAAUUCGUGAUCUUCACUUAAAUGGGGGAUUCUCAAAGAGAAAUCGCUUGAUUUUCACUAAAAUUGACGAUUCUCAAAGAGAAAACGCGAGAUUUUCACUUAAUUGGGGGAUUUGCGAAGAGAAAACGCGUGAUUUUCGCAUAAAUGGGGGAUUUGAGAAGAGAAAACGCGUGAUUU